GACGAACUUUGGCGGCGUGCUUAACACAUGCAAGUCGAACGGAAAGGCCCUGCUUUUGUGGGGUGCUCGAGUGGCGAACGGGUGAGUAACACGUGAGUAACCUGCCCUUGACUUUGGGAUAACUUCAGGAAACUGGGGCUAAUACCGGAUAGGAGCUCCUGCUGCAUGGUGGGGGUUGGAAAGUUUCGGCGGUUGGGGAUGGACUCGCGGCUUAUCAGCUUGUUGGUGGGGUAGUGGCUUACCAAGGCUUUGACGGGUAGCCGGCCUGAGAGGGUGACCGGCCACAUUGGGACUGAGAUACGGCCCAGACUCCUACGGGAGGCAGCAGUGGGGAAUAUUGCACAAUGGGCGGAAGCCUGAUGCAGCAACGCCGCGUGCGGGAUGACGGCCUUCGGGUUGUAAACCGCUUUCGCCUGUGACGAAGCGUGAGUGACGGUAAUGGGUAAAGAAGCACCGGCUAACUACGUGCCAGCAGCCGCGGUGAUACGUAGGGUGCGAGCGUUGUCCGGAUUUAUUGGGCGUAAAGGGCUCGUAGGUGGUUGAUCGCGUCGGAAGUGUAAUCUUGGGGCUUAACCCUGAGCGUGCUUUCGAUACGGGUUGACUUGAGGAAGGUAGGGGAGAAUGGAAUUCCUGGUGGAGCGGUGGAAUGCGCAGAUAUCAGGAGGAACACCAGUGGCGAAGGCGGUUCUCUGGGCCUUUCCUGACGCUGAGGAGCGAAAGCGUGGGGAGCGAACAGGCUUAGAUACCCUGGUAGUCCACGCUGUAAACGGUGGGUACUAGGUGUGGGGUCCAUUCCACGGGUUCCGUGCCGUAGCUAACGCUUUAAGUACCCCGCCUGGGGAGUACGGCCGCAAGGCUAAAACUCAAAGGAAUUGACGGGGCCCCGCACAAGCGGCGGAGCAUGCGGAUUAAUUCGAUGCAACGCGUAGAACCUUACCUGGGUUUGACAUGGAUCGGGAGUGCUCAGAGAUGGGUGUGCCUCUUUUGGGGUCGGUUCACAGGUGGUGCAUGCCUGUCGUCAGCUCGUGUCGUGAGAUGUUGGGUUAAGUCCCGCAACGAGCGCAACCCCUGUUCACUGUUGCCGGCACGUUAUGGUGGGGACUCAGUGGAGACCGCCGGGGUCAACUCGGAGGAAGGUGGGGAUGACGUCAAGUCAUCAUGCCCCUUAUGUCCAGGGCUUCACGCAUGCUACAAUGGCUGGUACAGAGAGUGGCGAGCCUGUGAGGGUGAGCGAAUCUCGGAAAGCCGGUCUCAGUUCGGAUUGGGGUCUGCAACUCGACCUCAUGAAGUCGGAGUCGCUAGUAAUCGCAGAUCAGCAACGCUGCGGUGAAUACGUUCCCGGGGCC
rnacentral:rRNA from 1 species